GCUGCUCUGGAGAUGUACAGUGAGCAGAGAGUAGGCUAUAAAGCACUGAUGCUUUAAGGCCUCAGCUCCCUGCUUACAGAGUCCAGACGAACACGAUGGCACCUGACUCUGGGAAAUGCUCCGUGGUGUCAGUGAUGAAGAUUAGAAGGGACACCACUGAAAUGUAUAGCCCUGGUGACCUCCAGAUCCUGGUGGCUGAUAGAAAACCAGGAGAUGCCAGAGGGAGUUGCUAUAGCUUUUCCUCCAAACAUAUGUAGACCAUGAUAGGUAGGAUAGUGCAUAAACUACUACCGUGUAAUUCACACACCCGGGUGUUGUGAUGAAUGAUCUGAUUUCAAUAAAAGUCAAAUUGGAAACUUUAAAAACCAUGCUUACAGUAAAGACCAUUUUGAAAAUGAAACUCUGUUUUCUAAUACUUUACUCAUUAGCAAUUUUGCUUUUCUAGUUUGUAUUCAGUUGACAUUACCCUGAAGAUAGUGUGAGUUUGGUUCUGAGUAAGGACUGACACCUACAGACACGCUAUCUUGUGUUAAAAACCUCAAUCAGACACAUUGCCUGGGCCUUUAGACCAGGUGGUGACAGUCAGCCUGGAAGUGAGAGCAAGCGGUGCCAACCACAACUUCUACCCCAUAGCACGAAAUGUAUGUCCUUAUUUACCCUAACUACUACUGCUAUGGCAACAGAGUGUCAACAACCUACGUAAACCUUGCAAGUUUUGUUGUACCUAUGUUCUAUACACAAGCUGUUGAUGUCAAGGAACCUCUCAGGGCUCUAUGGAAAAGUGAAUUGCGAGAGAACAGCUUUAGAAGCAGCUGUGCCUUAAAGAGUUUAAUGGAAUUUAAAGGGUAGAACCACCAGCCUGCACUUUCGUCUUCCUUCCUGUUAUAUGCGACUUCCUGUUUCUGACAAGUUGCCACUAUUUUUGGUUCUAUAUUCAAACAAUUGUCAAUGUGUGUCAAUGUUUUUAAACAAUGCCAAAUCAAUUACAUUACAAUCAGCAAUUCUUAACAGUGUCUCUCUGCAUAUGUACACAAUUUUAAUAUGUAUCACAUGUAACUAACAUUACCUUGCUCUGAACACUACAUGUGGUAAAUUGGCUAAUACUGUUCCUUAUGAAAUCAAACAUGGGUCUUUAUUUCAUAAUUCGACAAAUUCAUAAACAUUUACAUUGCUCUUUUUCAAUGCAAUCUCAUAGCUUAGAAGAUAACUAUCUCACUCUUUAAACCAAACAGCGCACCACUGUCUGUGCUGUCAUGUUGUUGUUAUGCCCCUAAACUGGCCGUGACUAAUAUGCUAAAUCCGAAAAUGUGAUAAUACUUAAACACAGAAUUCCCUAACUUCAUAUAAACCUUUCAAAAUGCUGUUCCUAUGGAUUUGCUCAAAGCUGAGGCAGAGCAGGAGUGCUCGUUAUUGAUCUGUCUUUCCCCCAAGGUCAACUGCCAUCUCAGGUUCAGCUGCCUACUGCCUGUUCAUCAGACGCUCACCUCAUGUCAAAAAGACUACUGAGGGAAGAGGGGCUGAUGGAGCCUGAAACUAAUUACAGGAGAUUAAUGAAUGGCUGAUACUUAAACUGACUAUGGCUGUUAGCAUGAGGCUAAUUGCUACUGACUGCUAACCAAUGGUUAAGCUGAAUUGUAUAAACAGGAAAAGAACAGCAUCAAUGUAUGUGU
ensembl:lncRNA